GGGUAUAACUCAGUGGUAGAGCACGUGCUUAGCAUGCACAAGGUCCUGGGUUCAAUCCCCAGUACUUCCA
rnacentral:tRNA from 1 species